GUGAGGAAUAUUGGACAAUGGCCGGAAGGCUGAUCCAGCCAUGCCGCGUGCGGGACGACGGCCCUAUGGGUUGUAAACCGCUUUUGCGAGGGAGCAAUAAGAGCCACGUGUGACUCGAUGAGAGUACCUCGCGAAUAAGCAUCGGCUAACUCCGUGCCAGCAGCCGCGGUAAUACGGAGGAUGCAAGCGUUAUCCGGAUUUAUUGGGUUUAAAGGGUGCGCAGGCGGCUUGUUAAGCGGGAGGUGAAAUGCCGGCGCUCAACGUCGGAAGUGCCUCCCGAACUGGUGAGCUUGAAUGACUCUGCCGUGGGAGGAAUGUGUAGUGUAGCGGUGAAAUGCUUAGAGAUUACACAGAACACCGAUUGCGAAGGCAUCUCACGAAGGGUUGAUUGACGCUGAGGCACGAAAGCGUGGGGAUCAAACAGG
rnacentral:rRNA from 1 species